rnacentral:rRNA from 1 species
GUGGGGAAUAUUGGGCAAUGGGCGAAAGCCUGACCCAGCAACGCCGCGUGAAGGAAGAAGGUUUUCGGAUCGUAAACUUCUAUCCUUGGUGAAGAUAAUGACGGUAGCCAAGAAGGAAGCCCCGGCUAACUACGUGCCAGCAGCCGCGGUAAUACGUAGGGGGCAAGCGUUGUCCGGAAUGAUUGGGCGUAAAGGGCGCGUAGGCGGCCCGGUAAGUCUGAAGUGAAAGUCCUGCUUUUAAGGUGGGAAUUGCUUUGGAUACUGUCGGGCUUGAGUGCAGGAGAGGUAAGCGGAAUUCCCGGUGUAGCGGUGAAAUGCGUAGAGAUCGGGAGGAACACCAGUGGCGAAGGCGGCCUGCUGGACAUUAACUGACGCUGAGGCGCGAAAGCGUGGGGAGCAAACAGGAUUAGAAACCCGUGUAGUCC